rnacentral:lncRNA from 12 species
AUGGCUGCUUUUAAGACAUGUACAUUGCAAGUUUCGGGCAGUGCUCGGUCAGCUCCUGCAGACCUUGUUCUUGAGGAGAUUGACUCUGAAGAUGAAGCUCAAGAAAAAACAUGUUCAGCAACAAACUCAUUGCCAAAUUCACAACCUCAGUCCCAACCACAAACACCUUGGUCACCGGAACAAUCUCUUCCACUGAGUGUCACCACACCAGCACAAAUAGAACUGGAGGACGCAGAGACCCAAACCGCACGAUGGACGCCCAUGAUCGAGAACAUCAGAAGAGAGGCGGAGGACACCGCCAUAUUAAUUAUGGAGGAACGGUUGAUACAGGAGCGUCUGGCGAUGGCUCGAAUGGCAGAAGAGGUGGCACGGCAGACAGCAGAGAUGGCUGUCAGGGAGUUGGCACAGGCCCGGUUCGCCAUUCAGACCAUUGCAGAAGAGCCAGAAGAUGCUGAUCAAGAAUUACAAGUGCUGCACGAAGAGGAAAGUGAUAUAGAAGUCAUACGAAAUCAAAUUGCAGAGUAA